AGUGAACGCUGGCGGUAGGCCUAACACAUGCAAGUCGAACGGCAGCACAGUAAGAGCUUGCUCUUACGGGUGGCGAGUGGCGGACGGGUGAGGAAUACAUCGGAAUCUACUUUUUCGUGGGGGAUAACGUAGGGAAACUUACGCUAAUACCGCAUACGACCUACGGGUGAAAGCAGGGGAUCUUCGGACCUUGCGCGAUUGAAUGAGCCGAUGUCGGAUUAACUAGUUGGCGGGGUAAAGGCCCACCAAGGCGACGAUCCGUAGCUGGUCUGAGAGGAUGAUCAGCCACACUGGAACUGAGACACGGUCCAGACUCCUACGGGAGGCAGCAGUGGGGAAUAUUGGACAAUAGGCGCAAGCCUGAUCCAGCCAUACCGCGUGGGUGAAGAAGGCCUUCGGGUUGUAAAGCCCUUUUGUUGGGAAAGAAAAGCAGCAGGUUAAUACCCCGCUGUUCUGACGGUACCCAAAGAAUAAGCACCGGCUAACUUCGUGC
rnacentral:rRNA from 1 species